UAGGGAAUCUUCGGCAAUGGGGGGAACCCUGACCGAGCAACGCCGCGUGAGUGAAGAAGGUUUUCGGAUCGUAAAGCUCUGUUGUUAAGGAAGAACGAGUGUGAGAAUGGAAAGUUCAUGCUGUGACGGUACUUAACCAGAAAGGGACGGCUAAAUACGUGCCAGCAGCCGCGGUAAUACGUAUGGAGCGAGCGUUGUCCGGAAUUAUUGGGCGUAAAGGGUACGCAGGCGGUUUAAUAAGUCGAAUGUUAAAGAUCGGGGCUCAACCCCGUAAAGCAUUGGAAACUGAUAAACUUGAGUAGUGGAGAGGAAAGUGGAAUUCCUAGUGUAGUGGUGAAAUACGUAGAUAUUAGGAGGAAUACCAGUAGCGAAGGCGACUUUCUGGACACAAACUGACGCUGAGGUACGAAAGCGUGGGGAGCAAACAGG
rnacentral:rRNA from 1 species